GAAUAUUUUUUUAAAUUGCUUAUUUAGCCUAUGUAGCUAUUUUUUCCCUGGGCCAUGUGUGCCCAGUAGCCCUGUUCCUGACCUUAGCAUAACUAACGCCAUUUUAUAAGGCAAGUAACCAUUCUUUAUGACCGAGUGUGUCAUGUAUCUGUUCCCUUUCCUUAUCAGGCCCUGAAGGUCCUGUGAACCAAGCAGACAAACCAAAUGGAUUUCUUCUUCCCCUGCUGGCUGGCCUCAAGGCUCCUGGCCACCUUCCUUGCUAGCCUUGAAGGUCGCAGAUGCCUGGCCAGCCUGGUGUUGGUGACCCCAUCGCUGAGCAGGGAAGCGCAGCAGCACACAGCGCUGUCUGUAAAAUCAGGCAGUUGCAAGUCCUACCUGGGCACCUUGGACCCAAACUGCUGCUGCUGGACAGUGAGACCCUGUGGCCAUGGAUGCUUCCACCAUCAUCUGCUUCCUCCAAGGCUGAGUAACUUGUAUUCUUUUAUAUGAACUUUGAAUCUAGAUUGUUAUAUUCGUACAGCAAACCACAUAUUAAGAUCUGACCCAAUCUGCAGAUGGCCCAGGUGAUAAGAAACUACAAGGUAAGUUGUAUUAUAAAUUCUGUAUUAUGCUACUUAUAGGCUGUACUAUAUUGACUCUACUUGUAGAAAUCCUGUGCCAUUCCAACAAUGAAUUCUGUGCUACACUAAUCGUAGUAUCCCAUUAAGAAAAUAAAGCUUUAACUGUAACUAUGAUGUAGUGCCAUCAUCAUUCCAGCAAGGCUGCCUAAAAAAACCUGUCUGUCCCCUUUGUGACAGGAGUAAUUUGAAAGAACACCCCCCCCACCCCCCCCACCCCCAGUAAUAUUUGUAUUGACAGAGCGUUGUCUGAACACCUCAGGCUGUGAGCUGGAGCUGCUAGAACUGUGUAUUUCAUCCUACAGCUCACAUUCAAACAGCUGAAAGCCAUCUGUUCUUAUCUCCAGUUAAGCUUAGAUUUAUGUAAGGGCAGUACGGAGACCAUCCUACUGCUCUGAGCAAUAGGACAACCAUUUUAAAUGUGGAAGUUGCUACCACUCUUCCCUUGCCAGGUCAGAAUAAACGAAGCACGGCGGCUGGCUGGCUGUGAUGGCUUCAGCAGGCAGAUGCUUGUGCUCUCAUUGUGCGGUAUGAUCUGCGUACACAUGGAGUAGCCCGUGCUCCCAAGAACCUGCAGCAGGAAAGGAGCUCCUGAGAAUACAGCUGCUGGAGUGGCACUCUGGGGUACCACAGCUACAAGUGUUAUGAAUCCGAAGGUGCCCUGGGCAGGUGCCGCUGGACGCAGCAGCAGGGGCUGGAGUCAGGCUGGCAGACAGCUACUGCAGUUUGGUCAGCCUCGUUCCCCAAAUGCAAAGCAAGCCUUGUACCUGCUGCUGAAACAGGGCCAGGGCUACACUGGGGAAAAGGAAUUUGUGCUGUUUAAGACUUGCUUGUAAGGUAACAUGAGACAGAGGCAGUAUCACAAGGGGGGGCGUGUGCCUCGGCAGCACUUGUGCAUUGACAGAGCAAUUCCCAAUGUUUGUGUUGCAUCAGUUCUGCAAAUACUUAUUACAGUGCAUAAGACACAAUACCCGUCAACGUUAGCUUUGUAAAGAGAGACCGUUUUCUUCUGUUGACUAAUUAUCCACCGAAUAUAUUCAGUUUGAAGAGACACUUCAAUAAUUUAGCAGGCAUGUGCCAGGUAAUAUAGGAGCUUUUGUCUUACGAGUGGCAUAGAUCUUCAAUCAUGUGUAACUCAAUCUCUGGCUUUAUGUAUUCAAGGAAGUGUUUCGUAUAGCUCCUGUAUCAAGUGCCACUGAAAAGCAGGCCUAGAUAAAAGAUUAAGGUAAUGCUCUUAACUGUGAAUAGGGCAAGUUUACCCCUUAAUGUCCAGUAUAUCUUUUGCAGGCAAUACAGCUUUAUACAUAUGAAAUGUAUAUGCUGAGAUCUGAUGAUGAGUUUGUUGUAAUAACAGAAAAAUGCUGGAAACUGCACGUUAAAUACCCAGGUCGGUUAAGUCUCCUUAUGUUAUGGUGUAUGAACCAAUGCUUUGUAGUUUGAAACUGAAUGCUUUCUGUCAUUAACGUUUCUUAAAUGCAGAUCGUUAGUGCUGCACAAUUUUGGUUUGCUGGACCAGAUGAGGACAAUGGUAAUGUUCAGUUCCUGGGAACACUAUAAGGCAAAACUCAAGCAAUGGGUUUUCUUCAAACCCUCCCAAGGACAGCUGUCUGCCAUGCUCCAGCUGUCCACCAUGCUCCUGCUGUAACAGAGUGGGAUUUAUAAGAGCUCAAAAGGACGGAUAUCACUUACUGACAGCUUAGGUCAUCCAGUCCAUCAUCUGAGCACCUUUCUUUGGCAGUCCUGCCAGCAGCAGUGGGGAAAUGAAAAAGAAGGUGAUUGAACUUUCCUAACUAUUCUGAACAUGGCUUGGCCCAAGGAAAGGUUCCCCAGUAGUAACUUGCCUAUCACGGAGUCAUCUGAGAACCUACUUGCUACCACCUGGCUCUGACUAGGCCUCCUUAUCUCCAUGAACAGUGCUGCCAAAGCUGCCCUUUGGUAAGGAAACUUCAGAAAAGCUGGGUUUUCUUCUUGUUGGCUGAUGAAAAUGUUCUUUGAGGCUGGUCUCCUUUAGCACCCCCAGGCUGGCAAAAGGAAAAGCAUACUCCAGGAAAGAGGAUGGAUUUCCUGAUUUAGUACCAAUCUAUAGGCUUCAUCCAUAAGCUUGACUUGACUUUAAAAAUACAGAUCAACUGACCUAUCGACCUUCUUGUCUUUCUGAGAAUGUAUGUAAUGCCUACCCUCUUUAUUGUCUUAUGCUCUUCUCUAUGUGCUUGCCCACUAACUGAGAGCACGAUGUAGUGGCUGGGCUGUGAUUUAGGAGGAAAUGGCCUGCCUUCGUUUCAGUUGUCACAUUCAGCUGAUGUCAUUGUCCUCCUGUGAUGGUGAGGACAUCAUAUUGCUGGCAAUUGCCUGUUGAACUGUUGAUGGCUUUUCCUCAUCAGCGAUGGCUGCGAUGCUCCAGCCGGCUGCUGUGGGUGUUGUACUAUAAGGGGCUGGAUGGCAUCACCCGAGUGAGAUUUGACCCUUGCGGCCUGCGACUGUGCUGCCCUGUGGCAGUGUGGUGACGGGGAUUUUUGUAAAAGGCACAUUUCAGGCCUUUUGGGAAGUAGAAACCAGAAUCAUUCUGCCCAGACUGCUGUCCAGGUAACUGUGUUUUUCAUUUUAAAUACCUUUGCAGGCUCCAUGGAUAUAGCUUUUGUUUCCAGUGCUGAUAUGUUGUUUUGAUGUCUUGACAGCUCAAUUGUGUUCAUAUCCUGUUCAGAGCCCCUGCAACGGAUCUUUGCUGCCUUGUGUUUGAAUAGAGUAGACAUGGCAACUAGAAGGCUCUAAGAGUUUCUAACUAAACCUGUAAAGAAGUUUAAUUACAUACCAUGCCUAUCUUUUUUUUUUUUGUGUGUGUGUGUGUGUGUAUGGUAUUCUCACUUGGCCAGGUUCAUUGUGGGUGUUAAAUACCUUCUAAAAGUAUGAGAAAGUGGAAGGGUGAUAUCAGAGUAGAUGUAGAUGGAUUAUUUAUCUUAUUGGAUGUGACAAGGCAGAAGAGUCUGUAUUAGUAAAGUGUGAAAUACAGCAACCUGGAGAAGAGAACAGCACUAGAUUAAGGAGGCGAUCCAGAUGGGUGACACCUGGCUGUGCUCACUGUGGGAAGUUGGAUAGAAAGGGCCCACCUGAGGUCUGAUCCAGUGCUGUUGAUGUGUUCCAGCUCUGAAUUCACUUUUCUUCAGCUGUUAAGAAUGUCUGUUAUGCCCAUACAACUGUGUUGUCUGUCCUAGAGCUGAGACAUCUUGUUCAACAUUCUGUGUCCUGACUACUCCCUGGUUGGAGUGGGUGGGCAGUUCCUGCUUGGUUUGUGCUACCAGCGUUAGGUGUAAUCCCAUGAAAAGGUCCUGGGUGUGGAAAAGGGAUGUGGCCCUGGCAGCUUUGGCAGAGAUUGUUAGGAACUUUCUGGAAUUUUCUUUUCCCUUUUUUUUUGAUCAGAAAAUACCACUUAGUUUUAAUGUAAUGGCUCAACAAAUAUUUGAAAAAAAAAAUUAUUAAUACUGUUUCAAAAUACCUGAAAAUUUCUGCUUCCUUCCCUUAAAGAAUACAAAAUGAUUCAUUCCUCAUUUUAAAAUGCAGUUUAUGUUUUUUCAAAACACUAACAAAAGUAGGAAGUUACAAAUAAUAUUUUCCCAAAGUACAACAUAAAAUUGAAAUAGUGAAAACAUUUGUUGAACUAUUUUGAGAUGCAAGAUUUGCAUUUGACUCAAAUGGAAUGUGUUUUCUAAAUGAACUUUUUCAGGGAGGAAAACCCUUUUGUCUGAUAAUUAAAUCCCAGCCUGAGAGAGGUGGGACAAUACUUCCAUUAGAGCAAGACAGAAUUUCUGUGCAGAAAUUGAGGAGAGGAACAGUAUCUGUAUUGGAGGUUGUGUUCAGGAG